rnacentral:ncRNA from 2 species
UCCCCCCAAGGGAUCUAGGGUCCCGGUAUUUAAAAAACUUGAACUGCUUCGGGUGAACGGGAAGCCGGUGAAAGUCCGGCGCGGACCCGCCACUGUAAGCCUGACUCUGCGAGCGUUAUCCACUGGGGAUUUGGAUCCCUGGGAAGGGGCCCGUUAGGGGAUGAGGGUGAGCCAGGAGACCGGCCCGGGGCAGCGGCGGGAG